rnacentral:lncRNA from 1 species
UCACCCAAAAUGGCUAGCCGGAAGGUAUUAUUUGGGUUCCUUGAUCCUGUACAAGUACCCAAGAUCUACCCAGCGAAUAACCGAUGUGGGACUAAACACACGCUCGCACGGAUCCUCACAUACUCCUCCCGUUCAAGCCCUGACGUCCUCGUCGGGCUAAGGGUUCAAAACUAUUCAAAUCUAAUCACAAAUACCACGAUUGGCCCGUGGUCAGCCCCAAUGGAUCCGUGCUGCAGUGUCUNNNNNNNNNNNNNNNNNNNNCACAUACUCCUCCCGUUCAAGCCCUGACGUCCUCGUCGGGCUAAGGGUUCAAAACUAUUCAAAUCUAAUCACAAAUACCACGAUUGGCCCGUGGUCAGCCCCAAUGGAUCCGUGCUGCAGUGUCUCCUAGUCCACAUAGGUUAUGGGCUGGGUCCGCUCUGAUACCAUUUGUAACAACUCAGGACCUCACCCAAAAUGGCUAGC